CGCCUCCCUUUCUUUCUUUCCUUCGACCCGUCCCGCACGAUCUCCUCUCUCCCCAACGAACCGCAGCGCCGCCGCCCCUGCCUAGCGCUCGCUCGUGAUGCCUCUCCUCCUCCUCGUCUCACCCCCACCGCCGCCGAUCCUUCCCCGUCCACCGCCCUGUACCGUACGUGCGAGCAGGUUAGGCGAGCAGGUCAGGUGGCGGCUCCGAGAUCCGCCAAGGGCAUGGACCUCAAGCUCCAUCUCCAUGGCAGUGGCUCCCAGAUCCGCCCAGGGGCUGGACCUGGAGCUCAUCUCCUCCAUGGCGUCGGCUUCCUGAUCCGUCCAUGGGUUGGACCUGGUGCUCCAUCUCCAUGGCGAGUUGGCUGUAUCCCCACGUCUGCUUCUGCUCGGCCGACGACGCCAUCCGCGCGUGCUUCUGCUGCUCGUAUAGGUGCACGCACCACCGGUGCUCCCGGAUCGAGCAGGUGACGCAGCGGCCCUCCCAGAUCCACGAGGAGCUGCAUCUGGCUCGUCCUCGCGGCUGUCGGCCACGUCCUCGACAAGGGUCACAUCUGGCCGUGACCAAGUGAGGCCCCGGAUCUGCACUCACUAGGAGGGGGCGGCGGCACCGAGAGGAUUCUCACGCAGCCGUCUUCCACCUUCUUCGUCCGGUUCCAGCUGUGCACGCGACAUGGAGCCUCAUCUUCGAGCUGCUUGACCUCAAGGGCGAGGUGGAUGACGACGCUCUGAUUCUUGUGUGAUGUUGCCAAUAGCAAGAUGUGGCGGAUAACUUGAUCAUCUUCAUUCGAAGCAAAAUAAUAGGUUGACUCAGGCAGUCUUUUUCCGCUGCAACAGCCAUGCACAGAUGGUUCUGCCCGGUGGAUGCAGUUUCAAUUCUUCCAAUUUCCACGUGCUAGCGUUCCAAUGUCAAGCGGUCAGGCGAGAUAACAAGUAGAGGUUCAGUCUGUUGGAGGAGUAUGGCGAGCUGCUGAUUCGGGCUAACCAGGGGCACACUGUGGCAGGCGAUCGUAUUAGCUCAGUUCAGACUAUGAGCAUGAGCAGGUGCAUUUUCUUGUUUGUAAUGCUAUCGAAGGAGCUCCAUCCUGAAGAAUAUAGUGCUUGUAGAGCUUGUAAAUUAGUUACUCCACUUGUAAAAUUAUUUGUAGAGUAGAAGCACCAUUGUAUUGUGUGUUAUUUGUAGAGCAGGAGCUCCAUAUUGAAUUUGGCUCUACUAA